rnacentral:rRNA from 1 species
GUCCACGCCCUAAACGAUGGAUGCUAGAUAUUGGGAGUAUCGACCCUCCCAGUGUCGGUUAAAAAGUUAACACAUUAAGCAUCCCGCCUGGGGAGUACGGUCGCAAGGCUAAAACUCAAAAGGAAUAGACGGGGACCCGCACAAGCGGAGGAGCAUGUGGUUUAAUUCGAUGGUAAGCGAGGAACCUUACCUGGGUUUGAAAUGACACUGCAAGCCGAUGGAAACAUUGGCCGCUUUCGAAGGUGUGUCACAGGUGCUGCAUGGUUGCCGU